rnacentral:rRNA from 1 species
AGUGAACGCUGGCGGUAGGCCUAACACAUGCAAGUCGAACGGCAGCACAGUAAGAGCUUGCUCUUACGGGUGGCGAGUGGCGGACGGGUGAGGAAUACAUCGGAAUCUACUUUUUCGUGGGGGAUAACGUAGGGAAACUUACGCUAAUACCGCAUACGACCUACGGGUGAAAGCAGGGGAUCUUCGGACCUUGCGCGAUUGAAUGAGCCGAUGUCGGAUUAGCUAGUUGGCGGGGUAAAGGCCCACCAAGGCGACGAUCCGUAGCUGGUCUGAGAGGAUGACCACACACACUUGAACGUGGCCACGGUCCAUGCGCCGAGGGCGGGCAGCAGUGGCGGAUCGUGGGCUCUGGCCGCACCCCGCGUCCCCCUGUCGCGCUGGGGUGAGGAUGGCCUCCGUGUUCGACAGUCCUUUUGUCGAAAAAGAAAAGCUGCUGGUACACCCCCCGCUUUCCGGACCCUACCAAAAGAAUAAGCACCGGCUAACUUCGCGCCAGCGGCCGCGGUAAUAACCGGAGUGGCCACCGCCUGACC